rnacentral:rRNA from 1 species
CUGUGAGCUCGAUGAGUAGGGCGGGACACGUGGUAUCCUGUCUGAAUAUGGGGGGACCAUCCUCCAAGGCUAAAUACUCCUGACUGACCGAUAGUGAACCAGUACCGUGAGGGAAAGGCGAAAAGAACCCCGGCGAGGGGAGUGAAAAAGAACCUGAAACCGUGUACGUACAAGCAGUGGGAGCACAGAGCAAUCUGUGUGACUGCGUACCUUUUGUAUAAUGGGUCAGCGACUUAUAUUCUGUAGCAAGGUUAACCGAAUAGGGGAGCCGAAGGGAAACCGAGUCUUAACUGGGCGUUAAGUUGCAGGGUAUAGACCCGAAACCCGGUGAUCUAGCCAUGGGCAGGUUGAAGGUUGGGUAACACUAACUGGAGGACCGAACCGACUAAUGUUGAAAAAUUAGCGGAUGACUUGUGGCUGGGGGGGAAAGGCCAAUCAAACCGGGAGAUAGCUGGUUCUCCCCGAAAGCUAUUUAGGUAGCGCCUCGUGAAUUCAUCUCCGGGGGUAGAGCACUGUUUCGGCAAGGGGGUCAUCCCGACUUACCAACCCGAUGCAAACUGCGAAUACCGGAGAAUGUUAUCACGGGAGACACACGGCGGGUGCUAACGUCCGUCGUGAAGAGGGAAACAACCCAGACCGCCAGCUAAGGUCCCAAAGUCAUGGUUAAGUGGGAAACGAUGUGGGAAGGCCCAGACAGCCAGGAUGUUGGCUUAGAAGCAGCCAUCAUUUAAAGAAAGCGUAAUAGCUCACUGGUCGAGUCGGCCUGCGCGGAAGAUGUAACGGGGCUAAACCAUGCACCGAAGCUGCGGCAGCGACGCUUAUGCGUUGUUGGGUAGGGGAGCGUUCUGUAAGCCUGCGAAGGUGUGCUGUGAGGCAUGCUGGAGGUAUCAGAAGUGCGAAUGCUGACAUAAGUAACGAUAAAGCGGGUGAAAAGCCCGCUCGCCGGAAGACCAAGGGUUCCUGUCCAACGUUAAUCGGGGCAGGGUGAGUCGACCCCUAAGGCGAGGCCGAAAGGCGUAGUCGAUGGGAAACAGGUUAAUAUUCCUGUACUUGGUGUUACUGCGAAGGGGGGGACGGAGAAGGCUAUGUUGGCCGGGCGACGGUUGUCCCGGUUUAAGCGUGUAGGCUGGUUUUCCAGGCAAAUCCGGAAAAUCAAGGCUGAGGCGUGAUGACGAGGCACUACGGUGCUGAAGCAACAAAUGCCCUGCUUCCAGGAAAAGCCUCUAAGCAUCAGGUAACAUCAAAUCGUACCCCAAACCGACACAGGUGGUCAGGUAGAGAAUACCAAGGCGCUUGAGAGAACUCGGGUGAAGGAACUAGGCAAAAUGGUGCCGUAACUUCGGGAGAAGGCACGCUGAUAUGUAGGUGAAGUCCCUCGCGGAUGGAGCUGAAAUCAGUCGAAGAUACCAGCUGGCUGCAACUGUUUAUUAAAAACACAGCACUGUGCAAACACGAAAGUGGACGUAUACGGUGUGACGCCUGCCCGGUGCCGGAAGGUUAAUUGAUGGGGUUAGCGCAAGCGAAGCUCUUGAUCGAAGCCCCGGUAAACGGCGGCCGUAACUAUAACGGUCCUAAGGUAGCGAAAUUCCUUGUCGGGUAAGUUCCGACCUGCACGAAUGGCGUAAUGAUGGCCAGGCUGUCUCCACCCGAGACUCAGUGAAAUUGAACUCGCUGUGAAGAUGCAGUGUACCCGCGGCAAGACGGAAAGACCCCGUGAACCUUUACUAUAGCUUGACACUGAACAUUGAGCCUUGAUGUGUAGGAUAGGUGGGAGGCUUUGAAGUGUGGACGCCAGUCUGCAUGGAGCCGACCUUGAAAUACCACCCUUUAAUGUUUGAUGUUCUAACGUUGACCCGUGAUCCGGGUUGCGGACAGUGUCUGGUGGGUAGUUUGACUGGGGCGGUCUCCUCCUAAAGAGUAACGGAGGAGCACGAAGGUUGGCUAAUCCUGGUCGGACAUCAGGAGGUUAGUGCAAUGGCAUAAGCCAGCUUGACUGCGAGCGUGACGGCGCGAGCAGGUGCGAAAGCAGGUCAUAGUGAUCCGGUGGUUCUGAAUGGAAGGGCCAUCGCUCAACGGAUAAAAGGUACUCCGGGGAUAACAGGCUGAUACCGCCCAAGAGUUCAUAUCGACGGCGGUGUUUGGCACCUCGAUGUCGGCUCAUCACAUCCUGGGGCUGAAGUAGGUCCCAAGGGUAUGGCUGUUCGCCAUUUAAAGUGGUACGCGAGCUGGGUUUAGAACGUCGUGAGACAGUUCGGUCCCUAUCUGCCGUGGGCGCUGGAGAACUGAGGGGGGCUGCUCCUAGUACGAGAGGACCGGAGUGGACGCAUCACUGGUGUUCGGGUUGUCAUGCCAAUGGCACUGCCCGGUAGCUAAAUGCGGAAGAGAUAAGUGCUGAAAGCAUCUAAGCACGAAACUUGCCCCGAGAUGAGUUCUCCCUGACUCCUUGAGAGUCCUGAAGGAACGUUGAAGACGACGACGUUGAUAGGCCGGGUGUGUAAGCGCAGCGAUGCGUUGAGCUAACCGGUACUAAUGAACCGUGAGGCUUAACCUU